UAAGGAAUAUUGGGCAAUGGGCGAAAGCCUGACCCAGCGACACCGCGUGAGGGAUGAAGGCCUUCGGGUUGUAAACCUCUAACAUACGUAGAGAAAGGCGCCGUAAAUAAUACAUACGGUGACUGGACAAAGGCGUAAGAUGAAGUCAUUGCUAACUCUGUGCCAGCAGCAGCGGUAAUACAGAGAUGGCGACCGUUGUUCGGAAUCACUGGGCUUAAAGGGCAUGUAGGCGGCAAGAAAAGUUGAUAGUGAAAUCCCAUGGCUUACCCAUGGAAUUGCUGUCAAAACUAUCUUGCUUGAGUGAGGUAGGGGGGAGUGGAACUCCUGGUGGAGCGGUGAAAUGCGUUGAUAUCAGGAGGAACGCCGGAGGCGAAAGCGACUCUCUGGACCUCAACUGACGCUGAGGUGCGAAAGCUGGGGGAGCAAACG
rnacentral:rRNA from 1 species